GUAGGUGGCAAGCGUUGUCCGGGAAUUAUUGGGGCGUAAAGCGCGCGCAGGCGGUUCUUUAAGUCUGAUGUGAAAGCCCACGGGCUCAACCGUGGAGGGUCAUUGGAAACUGGAGAACUUGAGUACAGAAGAGGAAAGCGGAAUUCCACGUGUAGCGGUGAAAUGCGUAGAGAUGUGGAGGAACACCAGUGGCGAAGGCGGCUUUCUGGUCUGUAACUGACGCUGAGGCGCGAAAGCGUGGGGAGCAAACAGGAUUAGAUACCCUGGUAGUCCACGCCGUAAACGAUGAGUGCUAAGUGUUAGGGGGUUUCCGCCCCUUAGUGCUGCAGCUAACGCAUCAAGCACUCCGCCUGGGGAGUACAGCCGCAAGGCUG
rnacentral:rRNA from 1 species